AGCAGGUUGGGGACUACAAUGCUAAUUUUGCUUGCACCCAUCAACACAUUGAAAUGUGAAAAAUGAUGUCCACACUCCAUAUUGGUUUUCUAAGAUCACAAAUUGGUGGCCUUUCACCUACAUGCAAACUGCACUAUAGUUUAAUAGAAACAGAAUGUGAGGAAAUCUCCUUCCUCUUGGGUGAAUGACGAUUUUGUGUUUGUGUCCCAGGUGGUCAGAAGCAGAGGAUAGCAAUUGCAAGAGCUCUUCUGAAGAAUCCCAAGAUCCUGCUUUUGGAUGAGGCCACCAGUGCACUGGAUGCCGAGAACGAGUUCCUGGUGCAGGAGGCUUUGGAGCGGCUCAUGGAAGGGAGAACGGUCGUCAUUAUCGCUCACCGCCUCUCCACCAUCCAGAACGCCAAUGCCGUCGCGGUUCUGGACCAGCAUCGUGUGGCUGAAUGCGGCCAGCACACAGAGCUGCUGGGAAACAGACAGGGACUGUUCCGAAAACUGAUGGAGAAACAAGCUUUUCUUCAGGAGGAACAGAAACGGGCCCUGAGUUAAUCCUCGUCAAAGGGAUGAUAAAAGAGAAAAAUGAGGGGCGAUGAAUGGCUUGGGUGAACUCUAACAACCCUUUCGCCAAGUGACGAUGCUGUCAAAAGAAUCUGAACGAGUACUGACUGUUUACUACCUUAACUUUAGCAGUAAAAUGUUAUUCCCCACUGGAGGAAUAAAAUUCUAAGACACACUAUUCGAAUUGGAGACACCCGUGGUUUUAAAACACUGUCAUUGUGGAUUCAUAAUUCAGUUAUAUUACACGUAAAUGGGUGUAUGAGCUGUGCAAAUAAUACACUUUUUUUUAAAUACCAGAGGCAUGCUGUAAUCUUACAGCACACUAAUUUCUAAACCAAAAAAAA